rnacentral:lncRNA from 1 species
CCAAUACAACUAAUCUGGCUUGCUGUCUUUUGGGGGAGUUAGGGUGAACAGGGACUUCAAGGACCUCCAGGGCCACCAGGACAGAUCGGCGAACAGACAAGAAUCAAUGAUGUAGAAUUUCAAAAAGGAGAUCAGGGUGCUCCAGGUGACCCGGGCCCCCCAGGAUCCCCGGGGUUCCCCGGGCCUCCUGGGCCUCCUGGCGGUGGAAAAGGUGAAAAAGGUGAGCAAGGAGAACCAGGCAAAAGAGGGAAGCCAGGAAAAGAUGGGGAAAUUGGAUUGCCAGGUUUGUCUGUAAGUCUUUUCUAUCUUUCCUUCAUUUGGAAAUGUCCAGAUGUGAAAUAUUUGUAG